AUAAGUAGUGGAAAUCCACACUUAAUGUCAUCAAUUUUAACUUUCGUCGGGUUCACACAAAGUUUUUCCUGUCACACUUAGCAACAGGGGGGAAUUUGAAGCUGGGUAGCACCUACCGUCCCCCAGGGACAUAAAUUUUACCAAGUGACAUGUUUUUCUCUUCUGUACCAGUUGGGGACGCAGAACGAUAUCAGAAACUGGUUUGUUCUUUGUCAACCUGCCAAAACCUGACUCUCCCCCCAAGGCUUAGGUACUCGUAAACUUCUCAGGGGGUGUUCUGGAAGGUCCCAGAAUUUAGUCUUUAUCAAGACCCUGGUAUUUUCUGUUUAUCCACAGUCAAAAGGUGUUUUAGGUUUGUUCACCAUUAGAAAUCAAAGGUUCCAAGUAAAUGCUUAAAAUCUUAUCAGUUACAAACCUAACUGCUUAUUUUGUGUUUUUUCUCUUUUGUGAUAAACCUCUGCCACUUUGUGUUUCUCCGGUUAAAAUUCAUGCUAACGGGAGAAACUGUCCAGUUUUAAGACAUGAAUUUAGUUCUUUCUUGUUUAAAGUCAUACUGUGAUGCCUCAUCUGGAAUAACGUUGGUAAAUUGUGAUAUGAAUUAUUCACUGGUAGAAGAUUGAGUUUAUUUGAAAGAGCCACAGUGCCAUCUAGUGGUUAAUGAGUGAAAUACAUGUGGGUGUGACCAAGGAAGGUUAUAAGAGGCCAGAGUUCAACCUUGUGGCGGCAAAACAAGGAACCAAGACUCCUUAAGAAUCUCUCUGCUGGGCUUUUUUCAUCUGGCCGAGCAAUCGACGUCGCUCUCAAAGUUCCCAAGUCAUUUGCGCUCCAAACAAGUACAGUAGAAUGCCGUGGCAACUCUUUUUGUUUUGUUUCGACUUUCUACGUGAACCCGGAAGUCGGCAUGGUCCAGUCGAGUUUUCGUAUUAAGAGUUAAAACUUAUUUAGAGCAGUUUCGAUCUGGCCUCGAUUUUGAAUCUGGACUCACGCUUGUUAAGUAAAUAUUGAUAUUAUAGCUUAAUUUCUUGACUUUUAAAACAUCUGGUGCUCCUUAAGAAUAAUUAUGUUUAGGUUUAUUAAACGCAGGGUUCAUCCUGUAACCUUGUCAUCCUGUAGCCUCUUCCAUUCUGUAGCCUUUACAGGGAGGAAGUGACCUUUGAGCUGUUUCUGGCAGACCAAGCAAGUCGAUUUUAUCAGUAACACUCCCAUGGGAAACUGUCUGUUGGCUGCACCUGGAUUUGUAUGAAGGAAAUGUGACCUUGUUUUCACUCCCUAGGUUAAACAGCUUUCCGCCUUAACGGAGUAGUUUUGGAGUGUGAUGCGUGUGUGGGUUUGUAACUCUGUAACUCAAGAAGGCCCCCACCUUCUAGUCCUGUCUUUUCAAUAAAUGCUGUCGGUGGACUUCCGGUCCGAUGAGAGUGAACUGAGACCCGUGCUUGACGCUGGGAGAUCAUCUCCGGGGAGCUGACGAGGUGCCGCUUCCUGCUGAAUGUCCGGGGGGCUGAGAUUGCUUCACCGGCCAGCUGCUUAGCUCCGCAGACAAACUUCCGCUGACGGCUCACGCACGCCAGAUUCGGGGGAAAUCCGCCGCGCAGGGGGGGGACGCAAGAGACGUUUUGCACCCCAGCUAUUGUUGUGAGCUGAGUUUUGUCCUGGACCCGGCUGGUUACGGUAGCACUGUCUACUUGAAAUAGAGAUUGAAAGAGACUGAUGGUGGCCGUAGAUCGCUACCCGGGAGGAGGUUGUUAUCAGGGCUGAGUCGCGUUCUCGGUCCGACCCACCACGGUCACAGCGCUGAGCUUUCGCUGGGAGGUCGGUGCGAGGGUCUUGACGUCGCUGGGAAAAUGCGGAUCUACGAACCCAAGACCUGAGCAGAGAGAUUUGGGGAGAGUUUGCCUGAAGGACACAGCCGUACCUACAAUCUUCUCGUCCUUUAAGGUCAAAAAACCUCUUCCAAGAAGGGAAGAACAGGUAAGUAGGAAUGACAAGGUAAGUUUUGAGAAGGUUGCAGAUGUAGAUGCAGGUGUAGACAGUGCCAUAAAAGUUGGUGUUGAUCUGAGCAAUAUAUUGAUGUGUGAAGAGUCACCUCAAGAGGUCUUUGUUACUCAAAAUGUAACACAUUGCCAUUCCUCUGCAAGCAGUUGAGUGUUAUACUGCUCAUUCUGGUCACAGUGUUCAACACCAGAAUGACUCAGACUCUGGUCAGUUAUUACAGCCAAAUAGCAUCCUGAGUGACCAUUGCUAUCAGAUCACAGAGUCUCCCAAAACGCUUAAAAGGAAAGUUCUGUCGGCAAAUGAAAAGGUAUGCGUAGUUCAAAAAAAGCUUAGAUUGCAAUCCUGGAAGACAAGGAGACUGAAGGCAAGAAUUUCUUCUUUGAAGUGUCACCAAAAUUCUUCAGAAGAAAGUAAUCAUGUCCAUGUGCUUGUAAAGAUGGCUUCAGCGUGGUACUGCAAAAUUUGAUUAAAUCAUAUAGCACGGCAGGAGACGGACCGGAUAAAAUAGAUUAAAUCAUAUAGCACGGCAGGAGACGGACCGGAUAAAAGAAGGCAAAACUGUCCGCAAGAAGCUCACAAAAUUGAUCCAUUUUUAUGGAGAUUAGAGAAAAGCUGUCCUCGUCAUAUCUAUUAGUCUGUCUGUACAUUUUGUUAUGUGCUUGUCAGAAGUUGUGACAUGAACAUUUUUCUGAUAUUUGCAGACAGAACAUAACAUAUGAAGAGCCCUCCUUUUAUUGGACAUCCAUUUAAAUGUUACUUAGAGCCUGCAUGAACGGGGCCUAAGUAUACACUGACGAAGCUCUUUAUCCUUGAAGUUUGACCCCAACAUACAGGAUGCUACACUAAGUUGUAAAUGGACUUUAAACAGUCAGGCACUGUUUCAUUUACUAUCUAUAUGUUACUAUCUAUCCCUAAAAGUCUGCAUGAACGGGACCUAAGGUGAUAUUCUAACAUUUAUGUAAGUGAACACUUGAUAAAGUUCAGAGUAAAAGUUACAGCAUGCAACAUGCAUAUGCAACCUUCUCAGUUUUCUGAAAUAUAUUUGAUGACAAAUUUCUUGAUAGCUUGAUGUUUCAUUGAAGAAAAACAUAAAAUAUCUUAAAACUAAAAUCAUUUUUAUAUGUUAUUGCACAGAUAAGCUGUAUUGUUGAAUCCCAGCAGUAUGGGGUUUUCGGUUUGUUUGUUCUAUUUUGUUCCUAGCAGGUAUUCAUUUUCUCUCUGCGGUUGAGUUCCUGCCACCACCCCAGUUGCAGCAGCUGAAUGUCAACAGCUGAUCUGAAAGUGGGAAUGCUGUGUGAUUCCUUUGCCAUGUGGCCCAUGACCUGUGUCAGCCCGGUUCUGGAUGUGGCCUUGCUGAGUUCUCUGUAGCAAGGUUUUCUGGUGCUUGGGGCUGUUCCAGAGUGCACCUGAUCCUUCGAGGUCUAACACUUCACAUCCCAGCACACGCACGAACACAUGCUUGUUGAUGUUUGUUGUUCAUGAUGUUUGUGGUUCAUGGUUUACAUGUUUAUAGUUGUUAAUCCCACGUUUUCUUGAUGACUCUUAGAAAUGUUUCUUCACAGGUGCAGCUGCUGGUUUUAUGUUGGUUCCCUAGUUGUAUUAAUUUUUCUCUUAUUUACUUUUUAUCCUCUAUCAGCAGUCUUUAUUCCAGAUUGGUUCAGCAUUUACAUGCUGAUGUGGCGAUACAUAACCCAAAUCCAUAUUACUCAAAGGGAACCUCGAACACAUUAAGGCUCCUCUUGAUAGAGCAAAUCUGUUCAGCACAUUCUGACAGACAGACCACCAUUCUUCUGUCAUGUUGCUGUACAGGACAUUUUUAGUUGUUCUAUUCAAAAAUAAGUAGUAUUUCAUUUAAAGAGCAAUACUUUCACGUUAUCAUUUCCCCACACUUUCUGUAUACCAGUAUUUUGUUGUUUAUUCAGUAAAGAACGACAAAUUCUUUGUUUGUUUGUUUUUUGCACACAAAUAUCUAUCUGUAAAAAAUAUCUACAAAGCGAUAAUUUACAUAACAAGUAUGAUUUGGUUUUGCAAUACAGCACUCUAUUUUAGUAAGAUUUUUAAACCAAGUAAAGUUAGUAAAGAACACAUUUCUAUUGGCUGCUAAGAAACUGUUGGGAUUUAAAAUGGGCCUGUUGUACAAAUAACUUGUAAAUGAUUAUUCCUCACUUUGUAGUCUUAACCAAAGAAAUUCCAGUAAUUGAGCAAAAACAUUUAUUUUUUACACUACAUUUUAUAAAACAACAGGGCACAAAGUGUCGACACAUUAAAAAAAACGUAAAAUAUUAAAAGGUUGUCUCCGACGGUCUCUGCAGCUCUCUGGGCACCACGCCUCACGUAGCUGUCUCCAAUGAUCCAAAUGGCUAUGGAGAAAAAAUAACAGGUUUGUCAUAAUUGUUUAAAGUACAAAACCACACAUGAAGUGGUCAAGACAGGUACUUGGAACUUACACUUGCUGCGUUGUGUAGCUGAUGUUGGAGGCACACAGGCUGCCAUGGUGACCUUUUAACAGAUCUAAGAAAAAAAUGUAAUAAAAGAAUGAAACUUAAAAACUCCCAGAACUCAUGUCAUAUUUACUAAUCAGCUAUGGCUGAUUUAUUGUUUGGAUCACAGUGAGUUACACUAAUUCUAAUAUGUUUUUUAUUUCUAUUACACAUACAUACUUUUUAACUGUUAUUUUCACAUGACUGUUAUCAGGCUCUCUUGUUCUGGUUCUCAUGAUAAUUCCCUGUCUUCCAGUGCUUGUGCUUUCUUCAUCUGUAUAAUGUCUUUUUACUUUUGGUAAAUUGUACUGAGUCCAGAAUAAAGGCUACUUGGCUGUACAAGAUACAAACAGGUAUUACAUUUUGGAAAUAUAUGAAAUGUAUUUAGGCUGCUAAUUUAGCUCGAAUACUAAUAACUGCCGUAUUUUCCGGACCAUAACUCACACUUUUUUACAUAGUCUGGCCGGUCCUGCUACUUAUACUCCGGAGCGACUUAUAUAACAAAAUAUGUAGGCUACACCGCGCUGCUGCGGGCCGACUCCGACCCGCCCAAGAAUGAGUUCCCCGUCCCGCUGGGAGGGUUUCAAAAACCGCCUUCCUCGACUGGAGAAUGUGGUGCGCUGCUGCGAGCCGACUCCGACCCAAGAAUGAUUUCCCCUGUCCCACUGGGAGGGUUUCAAACACCGCCAGCAUCUGUUGGAGCCUGUGGUGGGGUGCUGAGGGCCGGCUCCAGCCCAGGAAUGAGCUCUCCUCGCCGGCCGGGAGGGUUUGAAACACCGCCAUCCUCUCCUCUGCUGGCUGGAGACCAUGGCGUGGUGCUGCGCCCGCGUUGUUCAUUCUGUUAUGGUUACCGGUGCUUGUCUUGCAAUGUGAAACGCUUGGUCUCAGAUUUUGUAAGAAAAAUAAUAAAAUGUCCCCCCAAAAUACGACUUAAAUAUAUUUUCUCUUCUUCAUUAUACAUUUAAUGGCUGGUGCGACUCAGGAGCGAUAGCCCGGAAAAUACGGUACUGAAAACUUGCUCAAAGCAAAAUGUUUUCAUUACGGAAAUAAAUUAUAAACUUACCGAUUUAAUACUUUUUUAUUGUCCAGUAUGUCUAUGGUGUAAACUAGAUAAUUUAAACAAAAAACAUGUUUCGGUACCAGGCUGUAAACAUGUCUAUUUCUGCUGUGAAAUUGGUAUUUUUAACAUGGGAGUCAAUGAGGAUUUGAUCGCUACUGACACCAGCCCCCAGCGGAUGAGGGUGGAACUGCAAUUUUUGGUACUUCUGCGUUGAGACCAUUUUUAGAGUCGCAUUGUGGGGCGCAGAGAGGUGUGAGAUGCGCAUGCGCUGACGGCCGAUCACCGGACACAGCAGCGUUUGAAGUUGAUGGCAGCUCGUUAGCAAACAUCCACAAACAAUUUAGAUGCAUUUUUGCCUAAUUUAACCACUGACAACGAAAAUAUCAUCUGGUAAGUAUAACUCACUCAAUCUGGAGGUAAGUGAAGGAAAUUUAGAAAG